rnacentral:rRNA from 1 species
AAUGAACGCUGGCGGCGUGGAUUAGGCAUGCAAGUCGAACGCGAAAGUUCCCUUCGGGGAGCGAGUAGAGUGGCGAAAGGGUGAGUAAUGCUUGGAUGACCUGCCCUCGAGACGGGGACAACAGUUCGAAAGGACUGCUAAUACCCGAUAGUCCGGGUUUAGAUGCGUCUAGAUCGGUAAAUGGUGCUUCCGCUCGAGGAGGGGUUCAAGUCCUAUCAGCUUGUUGGUGAGGUAACGGCUCACCAAGGCGAUGACGGGUAGCCGGACUGAGAGGUUGGCCGGUCACAUGGGAACUGAGACACUGUCCAGACUCCUACGGGAGGCAGCAGUGGGGAAUUUUGGACGAAUGGGGGCAACCCUGAUCCAGCCAUUCCGCGUGAGU